UGACGCCCCCAAUCAAGCCCAGACCUCUUUAUCACCAACCUACCCCCCCCCACCCUUAAAUAAAUCAUUCUAAUUCUCUAGUAUAUGCGAUUGAAAAAGAACCAGGAGCUUUACAAAUAGUACCGCAAGGGAAAGAUGAAAUAGAAAUUAAAUAAAUACUCAAGCAUGAAAUAGCAGAGACUACAACUCGUACCUUUUGCAUCAUGGUCUAACUAGUCUAACCAGGCAAAAAGAUUUUUAGUCUGGCCCCCCGAAACUAAGUGAGCUACUCCGAGGCAACCUUAGAGUAAACCCGUCUCUGUGGCAAAAGAGUGGGAAGACCUCUGAGUAGAGGUGAUAUACCUAUCGAACUUAGUGAUAGCUGGUUACUCAAGAAACGAAUUUUAGUUCUUUCUUAAGAGGAUUAAGCGCAUUUUAAUCAACAAGCAAAGCAAACCCAACCUCCUAAGACCUAUUCAAUUAGGGUACAGCCUAACUGAAAAAGGACACAACCUAAAACCCAGGUUAACGUUUUCAAAGACCAAGAACAAGUUGGCCUAAAAGCAGCCACCUUUAAAAUAGCGUCAAAGCUUUCUCUCCCGUCUUCUCCAAUUUCCAUCCCCUUACGGAACCCGGUACUGAUAUUGAGUCUUUCUAUACCCCUAUAGAAGUGUUUAUGUUAGAACUAGUAACACAGAACUAUUUCUCUCUAUGUGAGUGUAAAUCAGAUUGAAUAACUCGCUGAUAAUUACUCAGUACUGAAGCUAUUGUAGCAACCCCUCUAGAAAACCCUACAACUUCACCCUGUUAACCUUACACAAGAGCAUUAAAGAAAGAUUAAAAGACAAGGAAGGAACUCGGCAAAUUUAAGUCUCGCCUGUUUACCAAAAACAUCGCCUCUUGCACACUAUAUUAGGCAAUGCCUGCCCGGUGACCAUGUGUUUAACGGCCGCGGUAUUCUGACCGCGCGAAGGUAGCGUAAUCACUUGUCUUCUAAAUAAAGACUAGUAUGAACGGCCACACGAGGACUUGACUGUCUCCCCUGUCCAAUCAGUGAAACUGAUCCCCUCGUGCAGAAGCGAGGAUAAACCCAUAAGACGAGAAGACCCUAUGGAGCUUUAAACUCAAUAUUAAUUACCUUUUAACCCCCCUCUAAGGAACUAACAAAUAAUUUUAAAACUUAAUAUUAGUUUUAGGUUGGGGCGACCAUGGAGAAAAAAAUAUCCUCCCUGAUGAUCUUCUAACCAAGAGCCACAGCUCCAAGUAUUAAGAUACUUAACUCCCAUUGACCCAUUUUGUGAUCAACGAACCAAGUUACCCUAGGGAUAACAGCGCAAUCCAUUUCAAGAGUCCCUAUCGACAAAUGGGUUUACGACCUCGAUGUUGGAUCAGGGCAUCCUAG
rnacentral:rRNA from 1 species